rnacentral:misc_RNA from 1 species
ACACCUCAACUCUCAUGGCUUGCCAUGAUGAGCUUGGACCAUGGGGGUCUUGCUGGCCAGCGGUCGGCUCCUCUCAAAUGAAUCAGCUUGCCAGUGUUUGGUGGCACCACAGGUGUGAUAACUAUCUACGCUUGUGGUUUCCUGCCAGGCAUCCUUCAGCAAUGGAGGUUCACUGGAGCUCAUAAAUGUCUCUCCAUAGCGAGGACGACUUCUUGAAC